UUAAAUCGAAAAGAUUAAAGAAACCACUAGGGUAGUUCCUUCCUUUUAUCCCUCACCACAUGAUAUCUUGAUGUUUAUCACUAAUAAUUAUGGAAACUCAAAGAAGACAAAAAACAAGUGGAGAAGAUAGAAAUGAUGACUGAUGGUCGUAUCUUCAUCUUUCUUUUAUAAAUUGAAUCAUGAACACACAUCACUCUUGGGAAGCUUUCUUCAUGAUCAUGUUAUCACAAACCAGAAAAGUGUUACUAAUUUAUGUAUGGAUCAAGUAAUGAUUUAGCAUGACCGUUUUAGUUUAUUUCGUUAUUAUCAUCUAUUCUUGUGGCACGAGAAAGAGAAGUUUGGUUGAGAACUGACAGAAGAGAGUGAGCACAGGCCGGCAACUGUAUACGGAGAUUAUACUCUUGUUGGAGUUAUGCGUGUGCUCACUUCUCUUUCUGUCAGGGUCCUAUUCUUUCUUUCGUGUUGAUUUUUUGUGUGUUCUUUUUUUUUUUUUUUUUUGUGUGUGUGUUAGUGGUAGUAUAUAUACUAAUAUAUAUCAUGUGGGUAUGUGUAUUUUUUCAUGUUUAUGGGCAUGAAAAUGGAAAACUGGAGAAGGUGCAGUAGAGAUGGACGUACACCUGGCUAUUGGGAUCUAUCUAUCAAUCAAAACAAUACCAUCACACCACUGUGCCAAUGAAAAAGCUGCAAUCUUUUAUGACACCACCACCUCUUCAUUCUUAUCUCUUUAUCUCUCAAAGUUUUCUCUUCUUUGGCUGUAUCUUUAAACAUAUUAAUAUACGGUGAUCACAAAUAGUUAAAUCAACAACAGAAGAAGGGGGUCACAGGGGAUGGUAGUAAUCGAUAAAGAUAGAGAUAAUGUCACCUGCUGGUUCCUGCAAGAUUUGUACUAUCUUUUAUUUUUAUUUUUUUCAUUAAGUUUUUUAUAUUAUUAUUAUAGUAUAUAUUCAACUUGGAAGUUCUAAAACCUAUACUUUCUUUGUUAUUUGGGAGGACGAAAUGGUGUUCUUAUGAAAUCAUGAACAAGUUUGCAUUGGAAAUGCAUGCCAGCAGAAAGAGGAAAGUUUUUGCUAUCCAUUCGUGCAAGAAAGAUAUAAAGUGAAAAAUUCAGGUUGCUCCUAGCUUGAAGAGUGAGGAUUUGGCAUGAAGUAUUUGGGAAUGGCUAACUCUUGAUACGGUUUGGCGAUAUUAGUGACCUUAAAAUCUUAAAUUAUGUAAGCCCUACAAAAUUUUCAUCAAGAAAAUUGGCCCUUAAAUAUACCCUGUAUGAACUUGUUACUAGUUCUAGAAACUAAGAGUUUCCAGUAUUAUUGAACACCAAUUUUCCUAACUCCUUACUAUUUUUCUAGUUCCAAAUUUUAACACCAUAGACAAUAGAAAUUAUGGAAAACUGAGUCGAAUUGCCUGAUACUAGGCUAUUAAGUAAAUAUAAGACCAACUAAGCUCGAGCUCGGCUUGUCUUUUAAUUGUAUUUCGAAUGAUUGUGCUUGGCUUUUAUUCUACUCAUUUAUUUUUAUUAAUUAAAUUACACACAUAUACAAUUAUCUUAUAUAUUUUUUAAUUAUAGUUUUUCUAUAUUAUAUAUAUAUAUAUACACACAUACAUACAUAUUUAAUGUAUUAAACAGAAAAUAUAUAAAUAAUAAUAAGCUCGUUUAAUUGGGUUUGAGAUCCAGCUCGAGCUACAUAAGUGAAGCUCGGAUUCGAGCUCAGGCUCAUUUAUUGGAUAAGUUUAUUUUUAGACUCGAGCAAAUUUGAGGUCGGCAUGAUUUAAGUUUUUAGGCGAGUCAAUAUCUUGUAACUCAUUAAUGGUUUGGCUUGUCCACACAUCCUUAAGCGUUAUAGUAAUUGGUCAAAGUGGGACAUCUUAGAGUUUGAUUGGCAUUUGGUACAUCAGAUUUUCUAAACACAAUAAAGACAUAUUUAGGUUAAGAUGUGCAAGUUUGGAACCAUAUCCCUUGUCUUUACGUGUAAUCUUCUGCAUUUUGCUAUGUGUAUAUACGUGGAGGGUUACACGUCCAUUGUAAUUACAAGAAACAGAUAUUAUGACUCACCUCCAUUGGGUAUUAGAGCUAAAACUCUGUAUAAUAUAAAACCCUACCGUCACUUGAUACAAACCCAAAAUCGUGAGCCGUCACACUGUCCCUGUUCAAUCGAAGUUACAGUUCCUACACCAUGCCAUAUGUGUCCGACGAAGAAGAGCAAAGCCAAUGAAGCAUGUCUAAAAUUAACCAACCCCUUCGCUUGCUACCAAAAACACCGGUUCUUUUUACUUAUUCCAGUCAUGUACUCAUGUCCCUAUUCUAGUCUUCUGCUAACUCGUCAGAUUCUGUCAGUUGCAGAUUUGAUUCCAAGUUCAAGCCCCACCGAUAUCUAAUCCUUUGAGAAAUUUCCAUAGAUCGUUGUAAGUCACCCAGUGACACUGACGGAGACAGAAAUUUUUUCUUGUGGUGUUAUUUUUUAUGGAUACCCCGGUUUAUAGUAAACCGGAGUCGAAUUUUUUGGAUCGGUUCGGAUCUAGUCGGGUCAAAUUUACAUAAUAAAAGCAAAUAUCACAGUAAAAGUAUAAUGUUAUUGAAUAAAAACACAUAAUAAAAUUUAUACAUUUCUAUUUAAAAGAUUUGAAUUGCAUAUCAUCCUAAGUAAAAUAUUUAAUUUAAAUACUCCUAAAUUUAAUAUUUUUGAACAAUUAAUUAUACUCUUCUACACUCAUAAUUAUUAUUCAUUCAUCUUCGCCUAGGUUUGAAGCUACGACCUCCCGUUAAGAGACAUGUGUCUCUACCAAAUUGGCUAACCCGCAUUACGUACCUUCCGAAUUAUAUAUUAUCAAUUACAUACUUACCGAAUUAAAAUAUUCUAAUCACUUUCUAAUUGUCAAAUUAAGUCAAUGUAAAAUCAAAAUUGAGAGAGAAUCUAUGUUGGUAUUCAGUUUUUUUAACAGAAAAGAUAGUCAUUUUUAUUGAUUGCAGAAACAAGAGCAAAAUUCCUAGAUGAGUACACAAUAUUACAACCCAAAAAAAAAAAACCCAAAAAAAAAAAAAAAAACAAAACAACAGAAACCCCUUAACAAAACAUAAUUAGUGUUCAGUUAUACAAAUUAGAUGAUUAUACACAUUACAACCCAAAAAAGCAUAAUUAGUGUUCAAGUAUACUAAUUUCUUUUGUUUUUUUAGUUUUAUGCUAUGAAAAUUGAUAUAAAUUCAAGCUCAAACUAAACAAAAAUAUUUAAGACCAUUUUACUCAUUAGUAAUUAAACUUAAAACAAAGCCCCCUAUCCCAUUUAACUGGUAGGCCCAAUAAAACCAUUAGACCAUUUUAGUCAUUAGUUAAACAUUGGUUUUGGCCGACGCAACAAGUUUACCGGGCCUAACCCGAACCGUAACAUCUGUUUUUAAUAUUUAGCGAUAGAUAUAUGACUAACCUUCAAAUAUUCCGCACCCCGCAUGAAAAAAAAAAUUGGGUCCGCUACUGAAUAUAAGUGAACACUAAUGAAGUGUAAUGUGAGCCAUCACUACAAUCUAUCUAUCUUCUAUGUUCAAAUCACUUCCGUAUUUUAUAUCUACCAAGGAGCAAUGGAUAAAUGUAAGAGAUGGAGCAACACAAAGAAAUAACUUUGGCUAAAGCUUGGAUUGGAACAUCGUGUGACAGAUGCAUAGGAAUCAAUAAUGUCUUGAUUCUUUUUGGUAAAGGAUUCAAAUAAAAUUUGCAGUCAUUUCCGGUCUCGGAUCAAAGUGUUUAUCAAUUUAACUCAAAAUAGAGGAUGAUGAACAAGACGAAGAAGGAUGAUUUGCAUUUUUUUUUCGUUGCACCACAUGAUCACUUGACCUGUAGUAGUUAUGUAUUAGUUUUUAAAAGCUAAUGUUUAUAUUGUUAUGUGUGAGUU